GAGUUUUGACUCAACUGUUAUGCCUUGCAUUUACAGCUUGACCCGUUCUUGCUUCCUGUUGUCCAAGGCAGUAUCCUUGUAAUUCAGUUAAAUACAUGAAUUUUUUCAAGUAGUAUAGCUACUUCAAUCCCUGCAUUACGAGGGUGAUUUUCUGCUCAUUGUCUUGAAGAGUCUCAUCCAGAAGCAAUCAGCCCUUGGUCUGCGACAGUAGAUUCACAUUUGUUUUCUCAUUUCUUUGGUCACUGCCCUGUAAUUACUGCUCAAGGUCGAACACAUCCUGUUUCAACUUAUUUUCUCAAGGAAAUUUAUGAGAGUAUCAAUUACCGCCUUGCAUAUGAUUCUCCUGAUUCUUUAAGUUAUGGGACAUCUACUAGGGAAAAGAAUGCUCCUAUUGGCAAUCAUAGGGGGGAAAAGAACCUUGUCCUCUCUGCAUUGGGUGAUGAAUUAUUGCUUACAUAAAUCCCCAUUAUGAUUCCAGUAAUUAUCAAAACUACAGUGGACAAACUCAAAAGAAAAAUUGGUGAUUGCUUCUUAAAAGUAGUUUUCAGUGAUGCUAAUUAAGAUCCUAA